AUACCUAGCUGGAUGGGUUCAAAGGGUGAUCAAGAAGGUUCAUGGCCUAGGUGACCUCCAUUGCACCUGGGAGGGGCACCUGCCUAACAUCUCCCCAUGUGGAAAAGUGUAUGUCAUAAUUUGUUGUUAAUCCUUGAAAGCUCCUCGAGCUGGAGCAC